GUAGCGUGCGUUCCAUAUUUUUCCAAACAUUCGCGAUGUGCCGGUUGACGCCAACAUUUCCAGGCUGUUUCCACUAUGCUACGGAGUUGGAUACUUGUGAAGCGUGUUGCCACAGUGGCAACUAUUUUCUGAGCGAGUCUUCUGUAAUGCUUUUACCAGGUUCAGAAAUGCGGCUCUCAAGUGUCGGCGGUAUGAAAGGAAGGGAUGUGCCACAUGAACGCCUCCGGAAUCUUGACGGACCUUUAAAACAUGCGUUGACAGCAGUUUGUCUUUUCUCUGACAAGUCAUUUUGCACAUGCUUCCUAACUUCAAAGUACAACCACACUCUAUCACAAGCAAUGCAAGAUGUCAAACGCAGUGGAACCUGCUGCGGAUAUUGCAAGUGAUCAUUUGAAUGUUACGAGCGUUACAAUAAUUGUCACAUACUAUAGCUGAAGUAGUGUAAUGGAAGAUUUUGCAAGGGUACUUCUCUUGUUCAGAAUUUAUUGGCAGUGUGUAUCAUGUUGCAUCAUUGCACCUCAUUUAUUCAGUGAUGUAUAUUUAUGUGUUCGUUAGUAAAAAGGUCCAGUAGUCAUUAA